ensembl:snRNA U6 U6 spliceosomal RNA
GUGCUUGCUUCAGCAGCAUUUAUUCUAAAAUCAGAAUAAUACAUAGAAGAUUCGCAUGGAUCCCAUGGAAGGAUGACAUGCAAAUCAUGAAGCAGUCCAUAUUAGG